GGGGCGUUAGUAAACCUAUUACAUAGCUCUGUCAAAACUAAAUCACAAGUGAAAACCUUGUACACCCCA
rnacentral:tRNA from 1 species